rnacentral:rRNA from 1 species
UACGGGGGGGGCAAGCGUUUGUUCGGAAUUACUGGGCGUAAAGCGUGUGUAGGCGGUCUGCUAAGUCGGGUGUGAAAGCCCUGGGCUCAACCCAGGAAGUGCACUCGAAACUGACAGGCUUGAGUGCGGAGAGGAUAGGGGAAUUCCCGGUGUAGAGGUGAAAUUCGUAGAGAUCGGGAGGAACACCAGGUGGGCGAAGGCGCCUAUCUGGCUGACAACUGACGCUGAGACUCGAAGCU